GCCUAGGACAUCACCCUACCUAUUCUGAAGGGAAGGGAACAGUUUUCCUCCAGAAUGCUCAGGUUGCAUCUAAAAAUUUUUUCUAACAUUCUACUUAUUUAUUGAUCAAAUCCUUACCUGAAUCGUGGUGAAACUAGAGAUCAAAUCUUAAAUUAUCUGAUAUAAACCUUCGCAAAGGCUUGGAUAUGUAGAUUCUCUACUUCGCAUGCACAUCAGAUGCCACAGAAAAAUAGGAUAAACUCCAAUCCAAUUGACUUCGCAACUCAAUUAAUCGAGAG
rnacentral:lncRNA from 1 species